AAUGAACGUUGGCGGCAUGGAUUAGGCAUGCAAGUCGAGCGAGAAGAGUUUUGAAGCUUGCUUUAGAACUCGGACAGCGGCGAAAGGGAGAGUAACGCGUAGUUAUGUGCCCUAGGGUCCGGAAUAGCCACGGGAAACUGUGGGUAAUGCCGGAUAACAUCCCCGGAUCAAAGGUGUGAUUCCGCCCUAGGAGCAGACUGCGUCCUACUAGCUAGUUGGUGGGGUAAUGGCCCACCAAGGCAAUGAUGGGUAGCGGGUGUGAGAGCAUGACCCGUCUCACUGGGACUGGGACACGGCCCAGACACCUACGGGUGGCUGCAGUCGAGAAUCUUCGGCAAUGGGCGAAAGCCUGACCGAGCGAUGCCGCGUGCGGGAUGAAGGCCCUCGGGUUGUAAACCGCUGUCGUAGGGGAGGAAGGUUCCGUGAAGAGCGGAAUUUGACCUAUCCUAGGAGGGAGUACGGGCUAAGUUCGUGCCAGCCGCCGCCGUAACAC
rnacentral:rRNA from 1 species